UACGGAGGGUGCAAGCAUUGAUCGGAAUUACUGGGCGUAAAGGGCGCGUAGGCGGUUUUGUAAGUCAGACGUGAAAUUCCAGGGCUCAACCCUGGAGCUGCGUUUGAAACUGGAAGACUAGAGUUCAGUUAGGGUAAACGGAAUUCCACGUGUAGCGGUGAAAUGCGUAGAUAUGUGGAAGAACACCGGUGGUGAAGACGGUUUACUGGGCUGAAACUGACGCUGAGGCGCGAAAGCAUGGGGAGCAAACAGG
rnacentral:rRNA from 1 species